CCUACGGGUGACAGCAGUGGGGAAUAUUGGGCAAUGGGCGCAAGCCUGACCCAGCCACGCCGCGUGAAGGAAGAAGGCUUUCGGGUUGUAAACUUCUUUUAAGAGGGAGGAGCGGAAGACGGUACCUCUUGAAUAAGCCACGGCUAACUACGUGCCAGCAGCCGCGGUAAUACGGAGGUGGCAAGCGUUGUCCGGAUUUACUGGGUGUAAUGGGCGUGUAGCCGGGGUGACAAGUGAGAUGUGAAAUGCCCGGGCUCAACCCCGGACCUGCAUUUGAAACUGGUUGGCUAGAGUAUCGGAGGGGCAGGCAGAAUUCCAAGUGUAGCGGUGAAAUGCGUAGAGAUGAGGAGGAACACCAGAGGCGAAGGCGGCCUGCUGGACGACAACUGACGGUGAGGCGCGAAAGCGUGGGGAGCAAACAGGAUUAGAUACCCUAGUAGUC
rnacentral:rRNA from 1 species